GACGAACGCUGGCGGCGUGCUUAACACAUGCAAGUCGAACGGAAAGGCCCUGCUUUUGUGGGGUGCUCGAGUGGCGAACGGGUGAGUAACACGUGAGUAACCUGCCCUUGACUUUGGGAUGACUUCAGGAAACUGGGGCUAAUACCGGAUAGGAGAUCCUGCUGCAUAGUGGGGGUUGGAAAGUUUCGGCGGUUGGGGAUGUACUCGCGGCUUAUCAGCUUGUUGGUGGGGUAGUGGCUUACCAAGGCUUUGACGGGUAGCCGGCCUGAGAGGGUGGCCGGCCACAUUGGGACUGCGAUACGGCCCAGACUCCUACGGGAGGCAGCAGUGGGGAAUAUUGCACAAUGGGCGGAAGCCUGAUGCAGCAACGCCGCGUGCGGGAUAACGGCCUUCGGGUUGUAAACCGCUUUCGCCUGUGACGAAGCGUGAGUGACGGUAAUGGGUAAAAAAGCACCGGCUAACUACGUG
rnacentral:rRNA from 1 species